GGGGCGGGGCCGGGGCCGAGCGGGAAUGCAGGGACGGCCCCGGAGGCUCCCCAGGGUGGAAGGGAACAUCCAGCCUGAGCUUAGGCUGAUGCAAAGAGGAAUUUGAAGGCUCCACUGCUGCUGUACCUGAGAAAACUUAGCCACACUUUCAACCAUUGCUUCAAGGCUCAAAAGAUGGGGCUGGAAAUGUUUCCAAA